rnacentral:rRNA from 1 species
UGGAAGGGAUACGUAUUUGCACAGGAGGUGAUAUUUACUUUUAGUCCCAACAUUACAAGAAUGUAAGCAUCCUCAAUGGUCAUCUCAACGUGGCAGGCAGCGGCCCGCAGCGACGAGGAGCAGGAGCAGAGCGACCUAAGGCUCGAGAAGAAGCAUGGCUCUUGUAUCACCAGCUGCGCAGAGGGACCGCUCGCCGUUGUCCUUGGCUAUGGUGCUUGGGAUUUUUGAACGGUAGGUAGCACGGUGAAGCGAACUUUUCCCCCCUUAUCAGAGGCUCAGAGCUUCCUAGUUGGGGUGAGGAAAAUUCUGGGAACCGUGUCGCGAGUUGGACGUCUACCGACUGAAAUUGGAAUGCAUGGAAACGGUGCUCUCUUCCCUGCUGUCAAAAAAUGACUGCAGCGUCUACACCCCACAUGUGGCUGAAUACAAUCAUUUUCGUGGAGACGUGAGCCGACCGGCCAUGCCGACCAGCCACAGGUCUCACUCUCAAGUCGUCCUUCUUGAGUCUUCUCCACUUAGCAAUAUGUGUGGGCCUCUUUAAAAGUCAUAUGGGGAUUAUUAC